rnacentral:rRNA from 1 species
UACGUAGGCAGCGAGCGUUGUUCGGAGUUACUGGGCGUAAAGGGUGUGUAGGCGGUUGCCCAAGUCGGGUGUGAAAGCCUUGAGCUCAACUCAAGAAAUGCACUCGGUACUGGGUGACUAGAGGACCGGAGAGGAUAGUGGAAUUCCCAGUGUAGUGGUGAAAUACGUAGAGAUUGGGAAGAACACCAGUGGCGAAGGCGGCUAUCUGGACGGUUUCUGACGCUAAGACGCGAAAGCGUGGGGAGCAAACAGG